CCCUUAGAUGUUCUGGGCCGCACGCGCGCUACACUGAUGCAUUCAACAAGCCUAGCCUAGACCGAGAGGUCCGGGUAAUCUUUGAAACUGCAUCGUGAUGGGGCUAGAUUAUUGCAAUUAUUAAUCUUCAACGAGGAAUGCCUAGUAAGCGUGAUUCAUCAAAUCGCGUUGAUUACGUCCCUGCCCUUUGUACACACCGCCCGUCGCUCCUACCGAUUGAAUGUGUUGGUGAGGAGCUCGGAUUGGCAGCAGUUGGUGGUUCGCCACCGGCUAUUGCUGAGAAGUCCUCCAAACCGCCCCAUUUAGAGGAAGGAGAAGUCGUAACA
rnacentral:rRNA from 1 species